UACAGAGGGUGCAAGCGUUGUUCGGAAUUAUUGGGCGUAAAGCGCGUGUAGGCGGCUUUGCAAGUCGGGUGUGAAACGCCCUCAGCUUAACUGAGGAAGUGCGCCCGAAACUGCUUGGCUUGAGUACCGGAGAGGAUGGCGGAAUUCCCCGAAGUAGAGGUGAAAUUCGUAGAUAUGGGGAGGAACACCGGUGGCGAAGGCGGCCAUCUGGACGGAUACUGACGCUGAGACGCGAAAGCGUGGGUAGCAAACAGG
rnacentral:rRNA from 1 species